rnacentral:rRNA from 1 species
UACGUAGGGUGCAAGCGUUGUCCGGAAUCAUUGGGCGUAAAGAGCGUGUAGGCGGCUCGGUAAGUCCGCUGUGAAAGUCCAGGGCUCAACCCUGGAAUGCCGGUGGAAACUGUCGGGCUAGAGUCCGGAAGAGGCGAGUGGAAUUCCUGGUGUAGCGGUGAAAUGCGCAGAUAUCAGGAGGAACACCAAUGGCGAAGGCAGCUCGCUGGGACGGUACUGACGCUGAGACGCGAAAGCGUGGGGAGCAAACAGG